AACGAACGCUGGCGGCAUGCCUAACACAUGCAAGUCGAACGAGACCUUCGGGUCUAGUGGCGCACGGGUGCGUAACGCGUGGGAAUCUGCCCUUGGGUUCGGAAUAACACAGAGAAAUUUGUGCUAAUACCGGAUGAUGUCUUCGGACCAAGGAUUUAUCGCCCAGGGAUGAGCCCGCGUAGGAUUAGCUAGUUGGUGGGGUAAUGGCCCACCAAGGCGACGAUCCUUAGCUGGCUGAGAGGAUGAUCAGCCACACUGGGACUGAGACACGGCCCAGACUCCUACGGGAGGCAGCAGUGGGGAAUAUUGGGACAAUGGGCGAAAGCCUGAUCCAGCAAUGCCGCGUGAGUGAUGAAGGCC
rnacentral:rRNA from 1 species